rnacentral:rRNA from 1 species
AUACGGAGGGUCCGAGCGUUAAUCGGAAUUACUGGGCGUAAAGCGUACGUAGGUGGCUUGAUUAGUCGGAUGUGAAAGCCCUGGGCUCAACCUGGGAACUGCAUUCGAUACUGUCUGGCUAGAGUAUAGUAGAGGGAAGUGGAAUUCCGGGUGUAGCGGUGAAAUGCGUAGAUAUCCGGAGGAACACCAGUGGCGAAGGCGGCUUCCUGGACUAAUACUGACACUGAGGUACGAAAGCGUGGCGAGCAAACAGAAUUAGAUACCCCAGUAGUCC